rnacentral:rRNA from 1 species
UACAGAGGUCUCAAGCGUUGUUCGGAUUCAUUGGGCGUAAAGGGUGCGUAGGCGGCGCGGUAAGUCGGGUGUGAAAUCUCGGGGCUUAACUCCGAAACUGCAUUCGAUACUGCCGUGCUUGAGGACUGGAGAGGAGACUGGAAUUACGGUGUAGCGGUGAAAUGCGUAGAUAUCGUAAGGAAGACCAGUGGCGAAGGCGGGUCUCUGGACAGUUCCUGGACGCUGAGGCACGAAGGUCAGGGGAGCAAACGGG